UCUGCUUGAAGAUAUAAGAAGUCUAGCCUGCUCUCUGAUAAUUUUAAGGGCCGCGGUAAUUUGACCGUGCAAAAAAUAACAUAAUAGUUAGUUUUUUAAUUGAAAUCUUGUAUGAAUGGUUGGACAAAAGAAAUACUGUCUCUAUAAUUAUUUUUGAAUUUAACUUUUAAGUGAAAAGGCUUAAAUAUUUUAAAAAGACGAUAAGACCCUAUAAAGCUUUAUAAGAAGUCUAUAUUUAGUUGAAAUAAAUAAUAAAAUUUUGAUAUGUGCUCUUAUUUUAUUGGGGAGAUAAGAUUAUAAAUUAAUAUAACUAAGUUUUAUUAAAACAGAAAUAAAUGUUUAUAGAAAUAUAAAAGAUCCUUUUUAUGGAUUUUAAGUUUAAGUUACUUUAGGGAUAACAGCGUUAUUUCUCUUAAGAGUUCAUAUCGAAAGAGGAGAUUGCUUGUCUAUGAUGUUGAAUUAAAAUUUCUAGAUUAUUGCAGAGGUAGUCUUAGGAAGGUCUGUUCGACCUUUAAAUUUUUACA
rnacentral:rRNA from 1 species